GUGUGCCUAAACACUACCAUUGCAAAUUGCAUUUUAUUGCAAUGUAAAAAAAAAAAAACUGACAAAAGGAUGAGAAUUUCAUUCAUUUGGAGUGAAGUCAUAUUUAAGCUGGGUUAGUUUAAGCUCGAGCAUGUGCACCAGUAGUGAAGACCAAUUUGCAUUAGCAACACAUGCUUCAGUGCUCUGGGAGAGUUUAUAGUGCUGUGAGUUUAACACUUCAUGACUGAGAGCUGCUACAGCAACUUCUUCACCCACAGCAGCCAUGACUUUAAUCCCCAUCUUCAUCUGGACGGUGAUCGUCUGUGCUCAAGAUGGUCAAGCGACUGUGACUCAGACUCCUGCAGUGAAAUCUGCUCUCCCAGGAGACACAGUCACCAUCAGCUGUAGAACCAGCUGUCCAGUGCAUCGGUACAGUGAAGGGAAUGAAGGGCUGUACUGGCACGUACAGAAACCUGGACAGCCUCCGAAAGCUUUGAUCAGACAUGCAAAAAUACUGGUGUCAGAUACUCCAGCUCGUUUCAGUGGCAGCGGGUCUACAUCUGACUUCACUCUGACCAUCGGUGGAGUCCAGCCUGAAGAUGCAGGAGAUUAUUACUGUCAGACGUAUCAGAGUGGUACAGUGUUCACACAGUAAUACAGAGCCAUACAAAAACCUCCCUCAGUCAGGCUGUGCAGAGGCUGAACUGCUGCAGUGGGACCUCCUGCAGGUGCUGAGUAGAGGAUGUGAAACUGCACGAUUACACAAAAUAACUGUUGAGAGAGAACACAGCACAUUAACUCACUGCUGAAAAUAGAAAUCUCUGAAUAACUGCCCUGUGCAAAACAACUGGGGACACCUUGCUGCCCUUCUGAGAUUUCAAAUUUUUAUCAUUAUUUUAAAAGUAAAAAUACCUGCGUAUGUUUUUAAUACAGUAAAAGACAGUAAUUUUGUCCAGUAUUGUAGAUAAAAAGGUUCAAAUCAAAAGAAGCUAACUUAAAACAGCUAAUAUGUGUAGUAAUAUGUUUUUUGUCAAACUAUAUAUGGAUAAAAUGUGUAUGAUUUGGCAUUAUGAUGACAGUAGUACUGUCACAAUUGUUGUUUUUCCCUCAAAAUCGGAGAUUACAAAAUUGGUAUUUGAC